rnacentral:rRNA from 1 species
UACGUAGGGUGCAAGCGUUGUCCGGAAUUAUUGGGCGUAAAGAGCUCGUAGGCGGUCUGUCGCGUCUGCUGUGAAAACUCAGGGCUUAACCCUGAGCUUGCAGUGGGUACGGGCAGACUAGAGUGCGGUAGGGGAGACUGGAAUUCCUGGUGUAGCGGUGAAAUGCGCAGAUAUCAGGAAGAACACCCGUGGCGAAGGCGGUUCUCUGGGACGGUACUGACGCUGAGACGCGAAAGCGUGGGGAGCGAACAGG